ACGAACGCUGGCGGCGUGCUUAACACAUGCAAGUCGAACGGUGAAGCGCCUUCCUUUUUGGUGGGUGUGGAUGAGUGGCGAACGGGUGAGUAACACGUGAGUAACCUGCCCCCUUCUUCUGGAUAACCGCAUGAAAGUGUGGCUAAUACGGGAUAUUCUGGGUCUGUCGCAUGAUGGGUCUGGGAAAGAUAUUGUUUCGGUGGGGGAUGGGCUCGCGGCCUAUCAGCUUGUUGGUGGGGUGAUGGCCUACCAAGGCGGUGACGGGUAGCCGGCCUGAGAGGGUGGACGGUCACACUGGGACUGAGACACGGGCCAGACUCCUACGGGAGGCAGCAGUGGGGAAUAUUGCACAAUGGGCGCAAGCCUGAUGCAGCGACGCCGCGUGAGGGAUGGAGGCCUGCGGGUUGUGAACCUCUUUCGCCAGUGAAGCAGGCCUGCCUCGUUUGUGGGUGGGUUGACGGUAGCUGGAUAAGAAGCGCCGGCUAACUACGUG
rnacentral:rRNA from 1 species